CACCAACACUGCGGGCCCUGGCCAUCAUCCACACCAUCAUCUCUCUAGUCUGCGUGGUGGGCUACUACUGCCUGAAGGAGAUUGAAGGGGAAUGCUUGGAAUCCCAGAGAUGAGCACUGGUCCUA
rnacentral:sRNA from 1 species